GACGAACGCUGGCGGCGUGCUUAACACAUGCAAGUCGAACGGUAAGGCCCUUCGGGGUACACGAGUGGCGAACGGGUGAGUAACACGUGGGUGAUCUGCCCUGCACUUCGGGAUAAGCCUGGGAAACUGGGUCUAAUACCGGAUAGGACCCUGGGAUGCAUGUCCUGGGGUGGAAAGCUUUUGCGGUGUGGGAUGGGCCCGCGGCCUAUCAGCUUGUUGGUGGGGUGAUGGCCUACCAAGGCGACGACGGGUAGCCGGCCUGAGAGGGUGACCGGCCACACUGGGACUGAGAUACGGCCCAGACUCCUACGGGAGGCAGCAGUGGGGAAUAUUGCACAAUGGGCGCAAGCCUGAUGCAGCGACGCCGCGUGAGGGAUGACGGCCUUCGGGUUGUAAACCUCUUUCAGCACCGACGAAGCGCAAGUGACGGUAGGUGCAGAAGAAGGACCGGCCAACUACGUGCCAGCAGCCGCCGCGG
rnacentral:rRNA from 1 species